CUUGUCACCUGGCAGAGGUGACAGCAUGGUCACAGAGGUGAUUUUUCCACAGUGAGGCUUAGCCAUUGCUCUCUAGAUGUGCUGACUCCUGAAGUUUCCUCACGGUCAGGAAAAAGCAUAAUUUGUGGCAGUGAGGGACUGCAUUCAUGGCCCUGU
rnacentral:snRNA from 1 species